rnacentral:rRNA from 1 species
UACAGAGGCCUCGAGCGUUAGCCGGAAUCACUGGGCUUAAAGCGUGUGUAGGCGGUCGGGUAAGUCCCUUGUGAAAUCCCACGGCUCAACCGUGGAACCGCUUGGUAUACUGCUUGACUUGAGCCACUUAGGGGUUACCGGAACAAAUGGUGGAGCGGUGAAAUGCGUAGAUAUCAUUUGGAACGCCAAUGGUGAAAACAGGUAACUGGGAGUGUGCUGACGCUGAGACACGAAAGCCAGGGGAGCGAACGGG